rnacentral:rRNA from 1 species
GAUGAACGCUGGCGGCGUGCCUAAUACAUGCAAGUCGAGCGAACAGACGAGGAGCUUGCUCCUCUGACGUUAGCGGCGGACGGGUGAGUAACACGUGGAUAACCUACCUAUAAGACUGGGAUAACUUCGGGAAACCGGAGCUAAUACCGGAUAAUAUAUUGAACCGCAUGGUUCAAUAGUGAAAGACGGUUUUGCUGUCACUAAUAGAUGGCUCCGCACCGCAUUAGUUAGUUGGUAAGGUAACGGCUUACCAAGGCAACGAUGCGUAGCCGACCUGAGAGGGUGGACCGCCACACUGGAAGAGAGACACGGUCCAGACUCCUACGGGAGGAAGCAGUAGGGAAUCUUACGCGAUGGGCGAAAGCCUGACAGAGCAACGCCGCGUGAGUGAUGAAGGACUUCGGAUCGUAAAACUCUGUUGGUAGGGAAGAACAAAUGUGUAAGUAACUAUGCACAUCUUGACGGUACCUAAUCAGAAAGCCACGGCUAACUACGUG